GUGGUGCACUGCGUGUUUUGGCGAGGAUUUAACACCCAACAUUCAAGUCGCAAUGAGAUGGUGCAGUGUCUUACUUGCUUUACGUAGUACCACUGCGUUUGUUUGGGCAUACCUUUCGAAGAGGCCAAGGAUUCCACCAUAGUGGAUUAUGGCUGCACGUUGCCCCACCCAUAUCGGAGCCACGACAUAUCGGUGUACUCAAACUAAGGUAGCAUUCUACGGUUUCUAACGAAGGCGUAUUUGAAGACAUUAACAACAGAACUCCUAAUUAACAAAAGUACACCUUCAUUAAGGCUACCACUGAACACCGAACAUCGUCUUUUAUCGCACCGAGACUUGAUGAGGUUGGCAGCAACUGUACCCUUGGAGGACACGCGGUUGAUACUACGGCCGAGCGCAUGACAGCAGUUACAAUGCCUAUCAUUGCUUCACUUACGAAAGACCUACAGACCCGGCUCUUUAUGGAUGUGAUGCUCCCAGAAUAAUUGCAUUUGAAAUUGUUUCUAGAACGGCACGGCUUAUGACCAUAAUCAAGUUCAUCAUGGAAAAAGAGGAUCUCAGUUAUUUUAGAGCUUCAAUUUUCUGUCAAAGUAGUCGUGUUUCGGUAGCAACUUCAUAGAUAGUUUUAGGCUCACUUUGCCAAACAUAAUUGUCGGUUUUAUUACAUCAUCAUGACACACCACAUAUCAAACUGGCGAAAGUUUUGAUCUAGGUGCUUCAGGAAAUUGAAUCCAGUCCGCUCUUAACUUCGCGUAUUUUAUCGUGUACUUUCUUAUGUUUGAUACAAAUAGUGCGGUGGUUUGGUUAUUUAAAACCCUCAAUAACAGGAAUAAAUUUAAAGAAAACAA